rnacentral:misc_RNA from 1 species
AAAGUUUUAUUCAUUCAUUCAUGAGCAUCAAGCAUACACUUUCUUUUUUCAUUGGUUUGAAAUUUAUGCUUUUGAAAAUAAUCUGGAAUAUCCUUUUGCUGAAAAAUCCCUAAACCCACUAUCUGAAACCCCCUCUUGGAAAACUUCAAAGAAUGAAUGGAUUCAGUCUGUUCAUCCACUACUCAGAGAACUCCAAAUUAAACACCACAAAGCCACACUCAUAGCCCUUUAAA